rnacentral:rRNA from 1 species
UCCCGAAUGGGCUCAUUACAACAGCCAUAAUUUACUUGAUGUUGAUAUUCCACGUGGAUAACUGUGGUAAUUCUAGAGCUAAUACAUGCACCAAAGCUCCGAUCUCAUGACGAGCGCAUCUAUUAGACCAAAAACCAAUCGAGAAUAUUCGCCUCAAAACGAAUGCCUCGUAAAUUUGGUGACUCUGAAUAGCUUAGCUGAUCGCAUGGUCUCGCACCGGCGACGUAUCUAUCAAGUGUCUGCCUUAUCAACUUUCGAUGGUAGUUUAUAUGCCUACCAUGGUUGUAACGGGUAACGGAGAAUAAGGGUUCGACUCCGGAGAGGGAGCCUGAGAAACGGCUACCACAUCCAAGGAAGGCAGCAGGCGCGCAAAUUACCCACUCUCAGCACGAGGAGGUAGUGACGAAAAAUAACGAGACCGUUCUCUUCGAGGCCGGUUAUCGGAAUGAGUACAAUUUAAAGCCGUUAACGAGGAUCUAUGAGAGGGCAAGUCUGGUGCCAGCAGCCGCGGUAAUUCCAGCUCUCAAAGUGUAUAUCGUCAUUGCUGCGGUUAAAAAGCUCGUAGUUGGAUUUAAGCUCGAUGACUCGGUCCAUCCAUAGGAUGAGAACUGAGCUCAUCGGCUAUCAUCGGCUGGUUUUGUCUAGGUGGCUUUAAACGGUUGCCUAGGCUGGCUAGCAAGUUUACUUUGAAAAAAUUAGAGUGCUCAACGCGGGCUUAAUGCCUGAAUAGUCGUGCAUGGAAUAAUGGAAUAGGAUUUCGGUUCUAUUUUGUUGGUUUUUUUAACCGAAAUAAUGGUUAAGAGGGACAGACGGGGGCAUUCGUAUCGCUACGUGAGAGGUGAAAUUCUUGGACCGUAGCGAGACGCCCGACUGCGAAAGCAUUUGCCAAGAAUGUCUUCAUUAAUCAAGAACGAAAGUCAGAGGUUCGAAGGCGAUCAGAAUACCGCCCAAAA